CGGGUGAGUAACACGUGGACAACCUGCCUCAAGGCUGGGGAUAACAUUUGGAAACAGAUGCUAAUACCGAAUAAAACUUAGUGUCGCAUGACACAAAGUUAAAAGGCGCUUCGGCGUCACCUAGAGAUGGAUCCGCGGUGCAUUAGUUAGUUGGUGGGGUAAAGGCCUACCAAGACAAUGAUGCAUAGCCGAGUUGAGAGACUGAUCGGCCACAUUGGGACUGAGACACGGCCCAAACUCCUACGGGAGGCUGCAGUAGGGAAUCUUCCACAAUGGGCGAAAGCCUGAUGGAGCAACGCCGCGUGUGUGAUGAAGGCUUUCGGGUCGUAAAGCACUGUUGUAUGGGAAGAACAGCUAGAAUAGGAAAUGAUUUUAGUUUGACGGUACCAUACCAGAAAGGGACGGCUAAAUACGUGCCAGCAGCCGCGGUAAUACGUAUGUCCCGAGCGUUAUCCGGAUUUAUUGGGCGUAAAGCGAGCGCAGACGGUUUAUUAAGUCUGAUGUGAAAGCCCGGAGCUCACUCCGGAAUGGCAUUGGAACUGGUUAACUUGAGUGCAGUA
rnacentral:rRNA from 1 species